rnacentral:snRNA from 1 species
AUAUCUUUCUCGGCCUUUUGGCUAAGAUCAAGUGUAGUAUCUGUUCUUAUCAGUUUAAUAUCUGAUACGUGGCCCAUCUCAAUAGCUUGCUAUUGGGGCUUUUAUGCGUCGCCCAUGCGUUGCACUACCGCACGGGCCUGGCGCACUCCUA